rnacentral:rRNA from 1 species
GACGAACGCUGGCGGCGUGCUUAACACAUGCAAGUCGAACGGAAAGGCCUCUUUCGGGGGGUACUCGAGUGGCGAACGGGUGAGUAACACGUGAGUAACCUGCCCUUGACUUUGGGAUAACUUCAGGAAACUGGGGCUAAUACCGGAUAGGAGCUCCUGCUGCAUGGUGGGGGUUGGAAAGUUUCGGCGGUUGGGGAUGGACUCGCGGCUUAUCAGCUUGUUGGUGGGGUAGUGGCUUACCAAUGCUUUGACGGGUAGCCGGCCUGAGAGGGUGACCGGCCACAUUGGGACUGAGAUACGGCCCAGACUCCUACGGGAGGCAGCAGUGGGGAAUAUUGCACAAUGGGUGGAAGCCUGAUGCAGCAACGCCGUGUGCGGGAUGACGGCCUUCGGGUUGGAAACCGCUUUCGCUCAUGACGAAGCUUUGUGUGACGGUAGUGGGUAAAGAAGCACCGGCUAACUACGUG